UACCAGCACCCCGAGUUGUCGGGACGAUUAUUGGGCCUAAAGCAUCCGUAGCCUGUUCUGCAAGUCCUCCGUUAAAUCCACCCGCUUAACGGAUGGGCUGCGGGGGAUACUGCAGAGCUAGGAGGCGGGAGAGGCAAACGGUACUCAGUGGGUAGGGGUAAAAUCCAUUGAUCUACUGAAGACCACCAGUGGCGAAGGCGUUUGCCAGAACGCGCUCGACGGUGAGGGAUGAAAGCUGGGGGAGCAAACCGG
rnacentral:rRNA from 1 species